UGGGGGAUAUUGCACAAUGGGGGAAACCCUGAUGCAGCGACGCCGCGUGUAGGAAGACGGUCCUCUGGAUUGUAAACUACUGUCUUCGGGGACGAUAAUGACGGUACCCGAGGAGGAAGCUCCGGCUAACUACGUGCCAGCAGCCGCGGUAAUACGUAGGUGGCAAGCGUUAUCCGGAAUUAUUGGGCGUAAAGGGUGCGUAGGCGGAAGAUCAAGUUCAAGGUGAAAGCGUGGGGCUCAACCCCAUACAGCCUUGGAAACUGGUCAUCUAGAGUGCAGAAGAGGGUAGUGGAAUUCCAUGCGUAGCGGUAAAAUGCGUAGAUAUAUGGAGGAACACCAGUGGCGAAGGCGGCUACCUGGUCUGUAACUGACGCUGAAGCACGAAAGCGUGGGGAGCAAAUA
rnacentral:rRNA from 1 species